rnacentral:rRNA from 1 species
GAUGAACGCUGGCAGCAUGCUUAACACAUGCAUCACUGUGCUGUGGCGGACGGGUGAGUAACGCGUAAAGAACUUACCUCACAGUUAGGGACAACAUUUGGAAACGAAUGCUAAUCCAUAAUACUGUGAGAGAGCUGUGCGUCACAUGAGCUAGUAGGAGAGGUAACGGCUCACCAAGGCGAGGAUGGGUAGCCGGCCUGAGAGGGUGAUCGGCCACAAGGGCAUUGGGACACGGCCCGUACGCAUACGGGAGGAAGCAGUGGGGAACUGUGGCCAACGGGCCAAAGUCUGAUCCAGCACUUCGGUGUGCAAGAUAAAGCAUUGGGAAUGUAAAGUGCUUUGAGUAGAGCAGCGUUACCAACAGAAGAAGCGACGGCUAAAUACGUGCCAGCAGCCGCGGUAAUAC